rnacentral:lncRNA from 1 species
CCUUAGAACGCAAUCUCAAGCACCAAGAACCGUUCAAUUUGCUCCACCAAACUGUUCAGAAACCUCAAUUCCAAAAACAUACUAAUCUAUAAGAGAUCAACUAAACCAUUCGAAAGCAAUAACAAAAUAAAUCAGUUAAUAAUCCAAAGGACAACACUUACCCGAUACAACACUCAAAGAAUCAAUAAACGACUUGAGAAGCAAUAACCAACAUCAACAAAGUUGAAACCCCAAAGAAAG